rnacentral:tRNA from 1 species
GACCCCGUGGCGCAAUGGCAGCGCGUCUGACUCCAGAUCAGAAGGCUGGGUGUUCGAGUCACUCCGGUGUCA